GUAAAAAAGCUCGUAGUUGGAUUUCUGUUGAGGACGACCGGUCCACACCACGUGUGCGCAUCUGGCUCGGUCUCGGCAUCCUCUCGAUAGACGUUUCUGCGCUUGAUUGCGUGGUGCGGAUUUCGGGACUUUUACUUUGAGGAAAUUAGAGUGUUCACGGCAGGCUAUCGCCAGAAUACGUUAGCAUGGAAUAAUACUAUAGGAUCUCGGUUCUAUUUUGUUGGUUUCUAGAAGCGAGGUAAUGAUUAAUAGGGACAAUUGGGGGCAUUUGUAUCAACACGUCAGAGGUGGAAUUCUUGGAUUGUGUUGCGACAAACUACUGCGAAAGCAUUUGCCAAGGAUGUUUUCAUUGAUCAAGAACGAAAGUAAGGGGAUCGAAGACGAUUAGAUACCGUCGUAGUCUUUACCAUAAACUAUGCCAACUAGAGAUGGGUGAUCGUUCAUUUACGACUUCAUCCGCACCUUAUGAGAUAUCAAAGUCUUUGGGUUCCGGGGGGAGUACUGUCGCAAGGUAGAAACUUAAAGGAAUUGACGGAAGGGCACCACCAGGAGUGGAGCCUGCGGCUUAAUUUGACUCAACACGGGGAAACUCACCAGGCCCAGACAUAAUAAGGAUUGACAGAUUGAUAGCUCUUUCUUGAUUUUAUGGGUGGUGGUGCAUGGCCGUUCUUAGUUCGUGGAGUGAUUUGUCUGCUUAAUUGCGUUAACGAACGAGACC
rnacentral:rRNA from 1 species